rnacentral:misc_RNA from 1 species
GCCAUCCGCUCGUGUACGCCGAUUGGCUUCACGCGCCGGGCAAGCCGACCGUACUCUGCUACGGCCAUUACGACGUGCAGCCGCCGGACCCGAUGGAGUUGUGGAAGACCCCGCCGUUCGAGCCGACCAUCCGCGACGGCAACAUCUACGCGCGCGGUUCGGCCGACGACAAGGGCCAGUUCUACAU